UACGGAAGGCAGCAGUGGGGAAUAUUGCACAAUGGGCGCAAGCCUGAUGCAGCCAUGCCGCGUGUAUGAAGAAGGCCUUCGGGUUGUAAAGUACUUUCAGUCGUGAGGAAGGUGUUAAGGUUAAUAACCUUAGCAAUUGACGUUAGCGACAGAAGAAGCACCGGCUAACUCCGUGCCAGCAGCCGCGGUAAUCGGAGGGUGCGAGCGUUAAUCGGAAUUACUGGGCGUAAAGGGCACGCAGGCGGUUAAUUAAGUUGGAUGUGAAAUCCCCGGGCUUAACCUGGGAAUGGCAUUCAAGACUGGUUAGCUAGAGUCUUGUAGAGGGGGUAGAAUUCCAUGUGUAGCGGUGAGAUGCGUAGAGAUGUGGAGGAAUACCGGUGGCGAAGGCGGCCCCUGGACAAAGACUGACGCUCGAUGUGCGAAAGCGUGGGGAGCAAACAGGAUUAGAUACC
rnacentral:rRNA from 1 species